CUCCACAACCGAAUUGCCUGCAUUCAGAGAUGGUGCUGGGAACCUUCAGUACAGAGGUAUGCUUUGAAAUAAAGACACUCCCCUUGAUGCCACAACUAAAUUUUACUAGAAAAUUACAUUGCAAAUCAGCCUGUACUGUGAAAUCAAAUUCUGACCUGCUCUGCACAGGUGCAAACGUUUAAACAGUGCUGCACACCCGACAUAGAAGCACGGGGAGAUGGUGCUGGGUGUCAUCAGCAUACACUAUUUGCAAAGGUGGCACUGCCUUUGCUGUCACAACUAACUUUUCACCUACAUGAUCCUCUGAAACGAAACUGUGCUGGAAAACAGGUCUUGCUCCUAUCCUGCAUCCAAGGAUCAGCGUCAGAACUCUGCUCCACAACCGAAUUGCCUGCAUUCAGAGAUGGUGCUGGGACCUUCAGUACAGAGGAGCAUAUGGAUCGAACCUGUGCUGGAAAGAAGUCUGCUGCCAUGCUGCAUCCAAGGAUCAGCGUCAGAACUAUGCUCCACAACCGAAUUGCCUGCAUUCAGAGAAAGUGCUGGGAACCUUCAGUACAGAGGUAUGCUUUGAAAUAAAGACACUCCCCUUGAUGCCAGAACUAAAUUUUACUAGUAAAUUACAUUGCAAAUCAGCCUGUGCUGCGAAAUUAAAUACUGACCUGCUCCGCACAGGUGCAAGCGUUUAAAAAGUGC
rnacentral:lncRNA from 1 species